GGGGGAACCCUGAUGCAGCACGCCGCGUGAAGGAAGAAGGUCUUCGGAUUGUAAACUUCUGUCUUUUGGGACGAAAAUGACGGUACCAAAAGAGGAAGCCACGGCUAACUACGUGCCAGCAGCCGCGGUAAUUAUUCGUGCCAGCAGCCGCGGUAAUA
rnacentral:rRNA from 1 species